AGAAUCAACGCUGGCGGCGUGCCUAACACAUGCAAGUCGAACGAGAAAGUGGAGCAAUCCAUGAGUAAAGUGGCGACCGGGUGAGUAACACGUGACUAACCUACCUUCGAGUGGGGGAUAACCCCGGGAAACCGGGGCUAAUACCGCAUAACAUCGCAAGAUCAAAGCAGCAAUGCGCUGGAAGAGGGGGUCGCGGCUGAUUAGCUAGUUGGCGGGGUAACGCCCACCAAGGCGAAGAUCGGUA
rnacentral:rRNA from 1 species